rnacentral:lncRNA from 10 species
GAUCGUUAUUCUGAUAUUCAAGAUCAGUUGGUGAAUAUUAUGAAUAUUAAUGACUUAAAAUGAAAUUUAGUCUCAAUGACUAUGAUUUUUUUUAAAAAAGGCUUGAUUUGGCAUAAUACCAUGCAUUUUAAUAUACAGGUACAGAAUACAUGUCCCAGGUAGUGUGCUGCAAUGGUUACUUUUCAUGUGAACACACACACCUUUUCUUAGGUUAUAGCCACAAAUAAAUUAAAAUUCUGAAUAAAUAUGUUUCUUCAAGAGCUGAUCUAUUGGCAUCAGAAAAUAACAUGUUGCUGUGACUACAUAUUCAAAUUGGAAACGAAGUUAUCAGCUUAUUAAUAACUUCCAGCUAAAACAAUAUUGCAGAUAUGAUUCUUUUGAUUUAUGACUUUUGCCUGAAUGAU